rnacentral:rRNA from 1 species
UGGGGAAUUUUGGACAAUGGGCGAAAGCCUGAUCCAGCAAUGCCGCGUGUGUGAAGAAGGCCUUCGGGUUGUAAAGCACUUUUGUCCGGAAAGAAAUCCUUGGCUCUAAUACAGUCGGGGGAUGACGGUACCGGAAGAAUAAGCACCGGCUAACUACGUGCCAGCAGCCGCGGUAAUACGUAGGGUGCAAGCGUUAAUCGGAAUUACUGGGCGUAAAGCGUGCGCAGGCGGUUUGCUAAGACCGAUGUGAAAUCCCCGGGCUCAACCUGGGAACUGCAUUGGUGACUGGCAGGCUAGAGUAUGGCAGAGGGGGGUAGAAUUCCACGUGUAGCAGUGAAAUGCGUAGAGAUGUGGAGGAAUACCGAUGGCGAAGGCAGCCCCCUGGGCCAAUACUGACGCUCAUGCACGAAAGCGUGGGGAGCAAACAGGAUUAGAUACCCUGGUAGUCCCACGCCCUAAACGAUGUCAACUAGUUGUUGGGGAUUCAUUUCCUUAGUAACGUAGCUAACGCGUGAAGUUGACCGCCUGGGGAGUACGGUCGCAAGAUUAAAACUCAAAU